rnacentral:rRNA from 1 species
AGAGUUUGAUCCUGGCUCAGAACGAACGUGGGCGGCGUGGAUUAGGCAUGCAAGUCGAGCGGGAUCAAUUUGUUUCAAUCCUUCGGGAAAGAAACUUAUUGUGAGAGCGGCGAACGGGUGAGUAAUAUAUGGGUAAUUUACCUCUUUGUUUGGGAUAGCCAUCGGAAACGAUGAUUAAUACCGGAUGUGUUCAGAAACUGCAUAGUUUCUUAUAUAAAGGCGGGGAUCUUCGGACCUGUCGCAAAGAGAUAAGCCCAUAUCCUAUCAGCUUGUUGGUGAGGUAAUGGCUCACCAAGGCUUACGGGUAGCUGGUCUGAGAGGAUGGUCAGCCACACUGGGACUGAGACACUGCCCAGACUCCUACGGGAGGCUGCAGUCGAGAAUCAUUGUCAAUGCACGAAAGUGUGAACAUGCGACGCCGCGUGGAGGAUGACGGCCUUAGGGUUGUAAACUCCUGUCAGCAGGAAGGAAUAAUUAGAUAAUUAAUACCUAUUUAAUUUGACAGUACCUGCAGAGGAAGUCACGGCUAACUCUGUGCCAGCCGCCGCGGUAAUAC